GGCCUAACACAUGCAAGUCGAGCGGUAGCACAGAGAGCUUGCUCUCGGGUGACGAGCGGCGGACGGGUGAGUAAUGUCUGGGAAACUGCCUGAUGGAGGGGGAUAACUACUGGAAACGGUAGCUAAUACCGCAUAAUGUCGCAAGACCAAAGUGGGGGACCUUCGGGCCUCAUGCCAUCAGAUGUGCCCAGAUGGGAUUAGCUAGUAGGUGGGGUAACGGCUCACCUAGGCGACGAUCCCUAGCUGGUCUGAGAGGAUGACCAGCCACACUGGAACUGAGACACGGUCCAGACUCCUACGGGAGGCAGCAGUGGGGAAUAUUGCACAAUGGGCGCAAGCCUGAUGCAGCCAUGCCGCGUGUGUGAAGAAGGCCUUCGGGUUGUAAAGCACUUUCAGCGGGGAGGAAGGCGUUAAGGUUAAUAACCUCAUCGAUUGACGUUACCCGCAGAAGAAGCACCGGCUAACUCCGUGCCAGCAGCCGCGGUAAUACGGAG
rnacentral:rRNA from 1 species